CGGCACGAUACGGCACACCGCGUUUCUUAACCCCAAAAAGCUUUCUUUACCACCCGAAUGAUAAAUAAUAUCCUUGGCCAAGCAACGAUAUCGCGAGAUAAGUUCGUUCAACUAGUUGACAAGCAUUCGUAUUAUGCUGACAAUUCCAAUCGUACAAACCUCAAUUCACCGAUCAUUGUCUAACGACAAACGUGAUUUUGAUCAAGUAAAAUCUAUAAUCAAUUUAAAAAUUUCUCGAAUGAAAAAUGAACUUACAUGUGCCUUCGCCAUCGGUGUCCAUCCGCCAGCAGUAACCUGGAUUAACGAGUUUCCGGGAUGCGGUUGCUGGAUACUUCCAGCGCAAAGGUUUGCUACUUAAAGCCUCGUGAUCGGAUUCCACUUUGUCGGUUUCGAUAUUGACAGGACUCUGCCUCGAUCCUGCCGCCAUUGGGAACUUCGAUACCCAUGUGCUUGGUCCUGUAACAAAAAAAAUAAAUAUUCUAAUUAGUUUGAUUA